GCCUGGAGCCAGCCUCAAACAUACAACAAAAUCCAUUCAGGAACUAAUAUCAAAGGAGCAAGGUUUUUCAGCUAUGGUAGAUGCAAACCUUCCACCCACGCCCUGCAGAUGAUGGGCAUCUAGAAUAAGGAAAGAGAGGAAAUAUGCUGCAUUACCUGUAGGAGGUGUGCCUGCUUUUGCUAACAGAUGUUCCUGCUUCGUGGAUGAAUGCCUAACUGGUCAGAUCCUUUCUUGAUGAACGGUGGUAUCUCUGGGACUUGUCUGCAUAGCAGAACCAGGAUGUCUCUGCCCCCUCCAUUCCCUGAUUUCAGCUGAUGAAGUCUCCUCAUAAAUCCCAGAUGCGAUAGCAGCAGCUUGACCCAUCACUUCAUUACAUCAACUUGCAAAGCUCUGUAUUGUGCUGAGGAGGAGCCUAUCUGGUCAGAAUGGAUCCAAUCCAGGAAGAAAUAAAGGAAUCUGGUUAUUUCUGGGCAAGUUCUGCAUGAUUUACUGCUUCUCAAUUUUCCUGCUGUCAGCUAGUUUUUCUCCUAUUCAUAUUCCUUCCCCAUGCAGGAGAGCAAGUAUCCAGAUGGCAUAGGUAUCUCGAUUAGUUUUACUACCUAGCUGAUUUCUUAACAGUGCAGCUGUCAGGAGAACCAAUCUGAGCGUUGGUUCUGAUUGGGGUGAGAUGCACAUAUUCAUUGUCAUUUAGCAUUAGCUGUUUCAGUGCAUGCCAGUUUGUUCCCAAAUCAAGUAUCUGCCCCACUGCAUGACAGCUCUCCAGGCAUCCCUGCCUGGCUUCCUUAGCAUGCUACAAUGAGGAAUCUUUGCACAGGGAGGUGAUUUCCUGAUGAACAGAUAUCGUAUAUCUUUUGUAGAACACUUGUAUAACAUUUUUCACUGUCAACAGGAAGGGAUUAAAGCAAGAUGGUUCGUCAGGCUCUAGGCUGCUAUGCAUUUAUUUGGUGCAUAGUAGAAGAUGUAAGAGGUAGGGAAAAAAAAACAUGUUUUCCUCUGUAUUUUUUUAGGCUUUUCUUU